AACGAACGCUGGCGGCGCGUCUUACGCAUGCAAGUCGAACGGCAAGAGAGGAGCUCGCUUCUCUCCUAGAGUGGCGGACUGGUGAGGAACACGUGGGUAAUCUACCCUUAAGAUGGGGAUAGCUGCUAGAAAUAGCAGGUAAUACCGAAUACACUCGGCAUAUCACAAGAGGUGUUGAGGAAAGGAAGCUACGGCUUCGCUUGAGGCUGAGCUUGCGUCCCAUUAGCUAGUUGGUGAGGUAAAGGCCCACCAAGGCGACGAUGGGUAUCCGGCCUGAGAGGGUGAACGGACACAUUGGGACUGAGAUACGGCCCAAACUCCUACGGGAGGCAGCAGCUAAGAAUAUUCCGCAAUGGACGGAAGUCUGACGGAGCGACGCCGCGUGGAUGAAGAAGGCUGAAAAGUUGUAAAAUCCUUUUGUUGAUGAAGAAUAAGGGUGAGAGGGAAUGCUCAUCUGAUGACGGUAAUCGACGAAUAAGCCCCGGCUAAUUACGUG
rnacentral:rRNA from 1 species